UAUUGCCCCAGUUUUCUCUUUCUUCGUCUAUCUUUCGUGCAGUACUGAAAACGGAGGUCCUUCAUCUGCAGUUGCCAUUCCUAUUCCAAGCCCUGGAGCAGGCUCUUCGAGAGUACGAGCCGCUGCUAAUCUUGCAAAGCCUGUUGCGCGCGUAAGGAGAAGCGCUGUUUCAAACGGAAUGGGUCCCGGAGGUGUGAGCAACGCAGAUAUGACAGAUUUAUGGCGAGCGCUUCGAAGUCAACAACCGCACUCGAUGAAGCAACAGAACCAACCUCCUGGCAUAUCACGGCGGACAUGAUACUGGAGAAAAUAAAUCAAAUAUGGACAUCCGUCAUAUUCAUGCAGUGCACAAGUUGGAAAUAAAAAAGGCUAUAUAUUCCCA